UUAUCUGCUUGAUGUCGUAUACGAAUUCCGAAGAAACAUUUAAUGGAGAUGUACUUUUGUGUUUACAUCUGUGGCAACGGAAUUGACUGCAAGUGAAGCAGCACAAAACAGGAUAAAAUCCCAGAAAGUGCCAAGCCUCAACACCCAUGGGGUUUGGGUCCGGAAUUCAUCACGACUGACAGGUCAUCUACACACACAGGUGUGCUAUUCCACUGGAUCAGUAAGACAGGAAUCCUUGACCCAAGAUCUUACCAGCAAACACAGGAAAAGAACUGUCAAGAAAAGAAUUACUCUACCUAAGUGAAUCUCCUAGUCAGCCAUGCCACCGAGGACCUCUUUCCAGAUCUAUGUCGAUUUUAACAGCUGCCCAGUUUUCCAUAAUUCAUGUAACCAGUUCCCUAUGGAGAAAAAUUUAAGUUGUCUCCUUUGUGUUUGUACAAAAAAUA